rnacentral:tRNA from 1 species
UCCCUGGUGGUUCAGUGGUGAAGACUCUGUGCUCCUAAUACAGGGGGUCCAGGUUCCAUCCCUGGAUGGAGAA